rnacentral:rRNA from 1 species
UACAGAGGGUGCGAGCGUUGUUCGGAAUUACUGGGCGUAAAGCGUACGCAGGCGGCUUUGCAAGACAGGUGUGAAAUCCCCGGGCCUAACCUGGGAACUGCAUUUGUGACUGCAUGGCUAGAGUUUGUCAGAGGGGGGUGGAAUUCCACGUGUAGCAGUGAAAUGCGUAGAGAUGUGGAGGAACACCGAUGGCGAAGGCAGCCCCCUGGGUCAAGACUGACGCUCAUGCACGAAAGCGUGGGGAGCAAACAGG